rnacentral:lncRNA from 1 species
AGACAGACCUGCCUGAGAGUAGACUGAGGAGAGCCUGAAGAGCCAGCUUAGAGUGAGAGAAAGAAAGCCAGGGCCUCGAGGAGCACAGGUACGUGAAUCGUCGUCUCACUGAUAGCCAGGCUGAUGUCCCUCCUAGGCCAGAGAUUUUAUUUUAGUUCAUUAGACCCUUUCCUUCUGUUUAAGGAUAAAUACUUCGUAUUGGUCCCAAGGCAGAGAAGCGGUAAGGGUAGACAAGGGGGGUUAAGUGACUUGCCCAGGAUCACCCAGCUAGGAAGUGUCCCAGGACAGAUUUGAACCCAGGACCUCCCAUCUCGGGUCCUAGCUCUCCAUCCACGGAGCCACCCAGGCCCCAGGGCAUAGAUUCUAGUAGAGAAGAGCCUUUAGCGCUGCUGGGGACAAUCCCCUGGUUUGUGAUGGGACUCAUGCUCUCCUUCCCAUGUGGAGGCGCUCCUGAACUGGGCCAUCCUGUUCCCUUGGGGUUCCGAGGUCACAUCGCCGCCCAGGGCUCGGGAACAUCUCUCCAUCCCACCAGUUCCCACCACUGUGCUGAUGCCGGGAUUUCCCGCUGAUUAUGGACUCCGUCAGCCAGUCACACCUGGGCUUCGGAAAGGGCUGUUUUACCCCCGUGGUCACGUGGGGUGAAAGCGGGCCCUCCCCCACUUCCCCGUCCUGUCUCUCGCCAGCAUCUGCAGAGCCCCGGAACGGAGAUGUUCCCCUCCGGGAUGGGGGAGCUCUCGAGGAGCCUCGAACCUGCCUUUCCCGGGUGGAAAUGUUCUUUCUUUCCAGCCCGGCUCUGUGGCCCCACUGGACCGGACACCGGAGCGGGAGAGAAGGAAGAGUGUCGUGGGACCUGGCCUGGGGAGGACAGGUGAUUCGUCCUCUCCCUUAGUGGGGAGGAACACUUGUCCUGGAUUCGAGGGGCUGCCAUUACUCUAAUGAACAAGUAAUGUGGUAUUCGGGAUGACCCCUGGCUGCCAUAGCAACAAAUCAUGACAUCAUGAAAACACAGGAUGACUUUAGGGUGGGAGAGGCAGCCACCUAAUGGGGAGGGCCCCCUCGCCUCCAUCGGGCGCUCAGCGAGUAGCCCAACCUAGGCCACCUCUUUGAGGCACAGAACGAGAUGCCUGCAGGUGUGUGUAGGAAGGGGGCGGGGAGGGCUGGGGGACAGAAACCCCCAAGAAUUCUUCCAAGUCUACAGAGAAACUCCAAAGAGGACAAGAAGGCUCCCAGCUGCCACGGAAGUGAAUUAUUGCCUCGCUCUAAAGGGGUGGCAGGCCAUUUCUCCGGGGCUGGUGAUGGCGGAGGGGGCAGGAUGGAGAGCUGACCUCCUGGCCCGUGGGCAGGUCAGAGUGGGCCUGAGAAAGGACUGUGGUGGCCUGGCCUGGGGCGAGGGGCUGGGCUUGGAGUUGGGGUGGCAGAAGGGUCAAACACGGCCACGUGUCCCACAACAUUCACACAUUCUUAACUGGGGCCCAAACCAGAUCAAAAUGUAGUUUGGACUAUUCCAUAAAAGACAAUAAAACCGAGCUACGAGUGCA